GCACCACUGUCACUGCUCUCUCCUCUCUGCUCUCUGUGUUUCCCUCUCAUUGUCCACAGGCACUUUCUCGCCUUCUCUCUGAUUUCUCUCCCUCUCUUUAUCUGCGCUCGUGGUGCCUCUCCUCUUCUUGCCCCUCCUCUCCCCUUGCUUUCUUACCCUCCUCUUUCUCUUUCUCUCUGAGUCUGUCCCAUAGGCAGAGAUAGGAUCUGUUACAAACAGCAGCAGCCACGCCAACAGCCCAGACCCUGUAGCCCAGGCUGACUCUUGUGCCAACCCUGGUGGGAACAUCAGUGGGUGGGUACUUGACAGAGCCAGCGCCAGGGAGUUAAUACUACUCAGUGCUGCUGGAGGUGUGACACAGUCCCAGCCCUCUGCACAUUGAUUCACACAGGAUUAAUCCACUGCAUGAUGCUUCAGGCGGAAGGCCUGGCACAGCUGAUUUACCGUCCCUGUCAGACUUAACGUCUUUGGAGGCCUCCUCUGCCCUGCUCCUGUCUUCUGUGGAAGGACUAGUAAAGAGCAUCUGCCACUGCACCAACCAGAUCACCCAAAGGGAUGACUGGCAGUCAUCUGACUCAGGAGUAAGAGAGGAAGCAAUGGGCUGGACUAUGACUCUAAAAGAUGACUUUGGGGUCAUUGCCUGGACACGGCGAGCUGGGAACUACCUCAGCCUCUUCCUCCUCUUGUCUCUCUUUUCCUUUUCAGUCCAGUCAGACAUUGUGUUUCCUAAGGACCAUCACUUCUCUUGGAA